rnacentral:tRNA from 1 species
AGGGGCUUAGGCUUGAUCAAACCGGGGGCCUUCAAAGCCCCUAUCGAGGGUGAAAUUCCCCCAGCCCCUG